rnacentral:rRNA from 1 species
UACGGAGGGUGCAAGCGUUAUCCGGAUUUACUGGGUUUAAAGGGUGCGUAGGUGGGCAGGUAAGUCAGUGGUGAAAUCUCCGGGCUUAACCCGGAAACUGCCAUUGAUACUAUCUGUCUUGAAUAUCCUGGAGGUAAGCGGAAUAUGUCAUGUAGCGGUGAAAUGCUUAGAUAUGACAUAGAACACCAAUUGCGAAGGCAGCUUACUACGGGAUCAUUGACACUGAGGCACGAAAGCGUGGGGAUCAAGCAGG